GUGGCCCUAGUGGUUAAAGCGCCCACCAUGGAUGCGGGAGAUCGCGGGUUCGAACCCCGGCCAAGUCA